UGGAAAAGGUCCUGAAGCACAGAUAUU
rnacentral:piRNA from 1 species